UGAAAACACAGCUGGUCUAACCUUAUUAUCAUUACAUUUCUAAUAAUUUAAAUUUUAUUAUUAUUCAUUUAAUAUAAAUAAUUAUGACAUCGUGGAUUAAAAUAACUCCAAGAUUUCAUCAAGGAUUAGAGGUGAUUUCUAAACUUGAUAUCGGUAAAUUUCGUUUACUAGUCAAUCAUAUUUGUCAAGAAUUGUUUGUAAAUAAUGAUGGAAAAAUAUUUAGCGAAGAUGAGGAAGAAAAACUAAUAACUUCCCUCAGUUUAGAGAAAGAAACGUUAAAUUUAUUAAUUGAUAUAAUAAUAUUAAUAUACUCGCAAGCAGCAUUUAGCGUUGUAAAGCCUGCAGUGAUGGAAAAUACUAUGAAAGAAUUAUUUCCCUUAUCAGAAGAAAGUAUUUCAGUAUUUGUCAAUGCUUGGAUUACUCAUGGAAAACGAAUUAUUGAUACUCUACGUCAAAAAUCCAUUUUUCCAAAUCAGGUUGAAAACAUCAAUUGGAGUUUUAAUAUCCAAGCCGCGUCUUCAUCAGCAUCUUUUGAUAAUAAAAUGAAUGUUUUAUUACAAUUAGCAAUGACGGGGAAAGAAAAAGAAAAAUUAACUGUCGAGAUGGAUAAAUCGAGUUUAUCUGAUUUAUUUGAAAAUCUAGAAAAAAUUCAAAACCAGUUGGAUGCUCUCAAAUAAAAAAAGUGGGCUUAAUGAUCCUUGGAACCAGUUCUGUCACUCAGGAUUGCGCCCUGAGCACGUCUUAUAUGGGCCAUGAAUCAAGGAUCAUUCGAGAAUUCUUCAUACAAGUAUUACAACAUUCCAAUGUUAAAUAUCUCAUGUUGCGGACAAUGCACUGAUGAGCAGAUGAAUUUUUGCUACGGAAUAUGAUGCACGCAGUGGACUUCAAUAUGGAAUGCAGCAGCUAGUGAUGAUCGAAUGUGUAUUUAUGAUUGGUGUGUUUAUCGAAUUUUGCUGAAAGCUGCGAAAAAUUGUG
rnacentral:misc_RNA from 1 species